CUGUAUAUUAUCUUUUUUGAUGAAUAAAUUGUCCUUUUUUUAUUUGUGUUGUCAGUAUUUUUGCGAGCAUCGAGGUGAAGAGUUUCGACCCCGCCAAAGUGAAAAGCCUGAAUGUUGUUUUGGUCACACAGAAGAACAAUGUGACAAACUGCACAAAUGCAUCUUUAAAGGAUUUACAAAGAGAGCUGGAUGAUGGAAUUAAAUAUGACUGCAAGGAAGUGGCUGAAGAGCAGCUUGAGGAGUGCAGCUCUAAUCCAGAGACACCGUGUGGAGCCUGUUGGUGAAGAUGCGUGCACCAAAUAUCAGAUGAUGCGAGACACAACAAUCACCAGCUGUAAAAUAUAUUUUUCCAGAGUUCAUUUUCCUGUAAAGUCUUUGUAAAUUAAAUAAUGUGCUAUUAUUUGGUCUGUUAUUUUUGCACCUGUGGGCCAGUUUGACUUUAUGUGAAAUAUUUUUUAUAUAAAUCCCACUGAUGCAUUUUUACAGUAUGACAAUGCACCUUUGUAUUUUGUCAAAGGUUCUGAUUUUGAUGGGGUAGCUUUUUUAUCAGGUGUUAAAGAGUUAAGUUGUGGCACAAGUGCUAUGUACUGUAGGGUUAAAUACCAGUGCUGCUAUCUAAUCAUGUUCAACUGAUGAUCUCACUCCCACCUGGUGGCAGAAAUUGAAAUGUUUAUAAUAAAACGUUUAAAUACGA